UACGUAGGGUGCAAGCGUUGUCCGGAAUUAUUGGGCGUAAAGAGCUCGUAGGCGGUUCGUCGCGUCGGCUGUGAAAACCUGAGGCUCAACCUCAGGCCUGCAGUCGAUACGGGCGGACUUGAGUACUGCAGGGGAGACUGGAAUUCCUGGUGUAGCGGUGAAAUGCGCAGAUAUCGGAAGGAACACCAGUGGCGAAAAGCGGCUUCCUGGUCCAGCACCGACGUCAGGCACGAAAGCGUGGGGAGCAAACAGG
rnacentral:rRNA from 1 species